rnacentral:rRNA from 1 species
UACGUAGGGUGCAAGCGUUAAUCGGAAUUACUGGGCGUAAAGCGUGCGCAGGCGGUUUUGUAAGUCUGUCGUGAAAUCCCCGGGCUCAACCUGGGAAUUGCGAUGGAGACUGCAAGGCUAGAAUCUGGCAGAGGGGGGUAGAAUUCCACGUGUAGCAGUGAAAUGCGUAGAGAUGUGGAGGAACACCGAUGGCGAAGGCAGCCCCCCUGGGUCAAGAUUGACGCUCAUG